AUGAGAAAAAAGAAACACACUGUAAGUAUACAAUUUAAAAAAACCAAACACCCCUUCUCAUUGAAUAUAUUCCAUACACAAUUCACCUGCAACUCAACCUCCAUCAUCAAUAACCUUCACAGAAAAAUCACACAAUACUCUCUUUGCAAUAUGCAAAACACAAAGCACCAAAAAAACCUAUCAAAUUCAUCACUGAACCAACAAAACCGAAUGGAACAAUCUAACAGAAAGUAUUAG